AUUGGGAGGCCUGCCUGCCCAGUGACACCGUUAACGGCCGCGGUAUCCUGACCGUGCAAAGGUAGCAUAAUCACUUGUUCUCUAAAUAGGGACUUGUAUGAAUGGCCACACGAGGGUUUUACUGUCUCUUACUUCCAAUCAGUGAAAUUGACCUUCCCGUGAAGAGGCGGGAAUAUACUAAUAAGACGAGAAGACCCUAUGGAGCUUUAACUACUUGGCCCAAAGAAAUAAACCUCAUCGCUAAGGAAACAACAACACUCUUUAUGGGCUAACAGCUUUGGUUGGGGUGACCUCGGAGAACAAGAAAACCUCCGAGCGAUUUUAAAAGACUAGACCUACAAGUCGGAAUCACACAAUCGUUUAUUGAUCCAAAAAAAUUGAUCAACGGAACAAGUUACCCUAGGGAUAACAGCGCAAUCCUAUUCAAGAGUCCAUAUCGACAAUAGGGUUUACGACCUCGAUGUUGGAUCAGGACAUCCCGAUGGUGCAACCGCUAUCAAAGGUUCGUUUGUUCAACGAUUAAGUCCUACGUGAUCUGAGUUCAAACCGGAGAA
rnacentral:rRNA from 1 species